GGAAUUGUUCGCAAUGGGCGCAAGCCUGACGACGCAACGCCGCGUGGAGGAUGAAGACCUUCGGGUCGUAAACUCCUUUCGACCGAGAUGAAUACUUGCCGACCUAACACGUCGGCCAGCUGACAGUAUCGAGGGAAGCAGCCCCGGCUAACUCCGUGCCAGCAGCCGCGGUAAUACGGGGGGGGCAAGCGUUGUUCGGAAUUACUGGGCGUAAAGGGUUCGUAGGUGGCUUGCUAAGUCAGACGUGAAAUCCCUCAGCUUAACUGGGGAACUGCGUCUGUGACUGGUGAGCUUGAGUGCAGGAGAGGAACGCGGAAUUCCAGGUGUAGCGGUGAAAUGCGUAGAUAUCUGGAGGAACACCGGUGGCGAAGGCGGCGUUCUGGACUGCUACUGACACUGAGGAACGAAAGCCAGGGGAGCAAA
rnacentral:rRNA from 1 species